AUCGGUAGCUCCCAGCCUCACCUUCAUCACUCCAGGAACCCCAGCCCUUGGGCUACUCUCUUCUUCAUUCUCCACUCGCGCACCUCUCCUCCAUCCAAUGGUUCCAUCCAUGACCAUGACACCUAUCUUCUUCAUUCUCCACUCCCAGCCCUGGUGGUUUGUGCUUCUUGGAGAGCAGCGUAACAAGUUGAAGAUUAGGUUAAGGGGUUUGUUUGUCUGGUUCAAGGUCGCCACACAGCAGGGAAAACCCAUUUCGCCUUGAAGCAUGCACCAUGAUGGGUGUACCUGUUGGUGAUCUCGGACCAGGCUUCAAUCCCUUUAACUAGCGUCUGCAUAUAUAUGUGCUUCUCUAAUCAGCUGUUCAAGCAAUUUGCCUCUGGGUAAGCCAUCUGUUCGACCGUUGGAGGUUUUGUUUCCAUUUGACUAAUCGUUAGAGAAAACAACAAGAGUUUAUUAAGUACCUGGUUUAUUUGCAUGGCAA